rnacentral:rRNA from 1 species
UACGUAGGGUGCAAGCGUUGUCCGGAAUUAUUGGGCGUAAAGAGCUCGUAGGCGGUCUGUCGCGUCGGCUGUGAAAACCCGGAGCUCAACUCCGGGCCUGCAGUCGAUACGGGCAGACUGGAGUUCGGCAGGGGAGACUGGAAUUCCUGGUGUAGCGGUGAAAUGCGCAGAUAUCAGGAAGAACACCAACGGCGAAGGCAGCUCGCUGGGACGGUACUGACGCUGGAGACGCGAAAGCGUGGGGAGCGAACAGG